GAGUUUGAUCAUGGCUCAGAACGAACGCUGGCGGCAUGCCUAACACAUGCAAGUCGAACGGGAUCCAGGCUUCGGCCUGGUGAGAGUGGCGGACGGGUGAGUAACGCGUGGGAACCUGCCCAAUGGUCUGGGAUAACCGCGGGAAACUGCGGCUAAUACCGGAUAAGCCCGAGAGGGGAAAGAUUUAUCGCCGAUGGAGGGGCCCGCGUCCGAUUAGGUAGUUGGUGGGGUAACGGCCUACCAAGCCUACGAUCGGUAGCUGGUCUGAGAGGAUGAUCAGCCACACUGGGACUGAGAUACGGCCCAGACUCCUACGGGAGGCAGCAGUGGGGAAUAUUGGACAAUGGGGGCAACCCUGAUCCAGCAAUGCCGCGUGAGUGAUGAAGGCCUUAGGGUUGUAAAGCUCUUUUGGCGGGGACGAUGAUGACGGUACCCGCAGAAUAAGCCCCGGCUAACUUCGUGCCAGCCGCCGCUGUAAG
rnacentral:rRNA from 1 species